rnacentral:ncRNA from 3 species
CGUUCGCGCUCUCCCCUG